rnacentral:misc_RNA from 1 species
UACGGAGGGGACAAGCGUUGUUCGGAAUUACUGGGCGUAAAGCGCACGUAGGCGGACUAUUAAGUCAGGGGUGAAAUCCCGGGGCUCAACCCCGGAACUGCCCUUGAUACUGGUAGGCUGGAGUUCUGGAGAGGUGAGUGGAAUUCCGGGUGUAGCGGUGAAAUUCGUAGAGAUUCGGAGGAACACCGGUGGCGAAGGCGGCUCCCUGGCCAGAUACUGACGCUGAGGUGCGAAAGUGUGGGGAGCAAACAGG